UCGAUCAAGAGGUUAAAAGAUAGGACAAUUCCAAUAAUAAUUUCAUUUACUACAAGUCCAUUUUCAUUAAAUGUUUUUCUAAUUAAAGCUCCCUAUGAACAAGUAACUCUUAGGUUUCGUGCCAAUAUUGACCCUAUAUAGAAAGAAAUAGAGUUAGGUCAAUUAAAUAAAAAAAUGGUUGAACCUCAAUCUUGAGGGUCUCCACCGCCCCGUCCUUAGAGCUUUAUGAGGGAGGUAAAUCGCAAGAUGUGCCCCCAAUAAGUCAGGGAACAAGAGCUGCAUGUACAUUGCGCCUAUAAGAAGUCAAAUUCCAUAUCUCAGAAAUCAAACCCCCACACUGCGCUGCCAAUAAGACGUGAGAUAACAUCACUCCUAUCCUUUGAACCACUAAGCUAUGUCCCCGAGAGCAGGUCAAGUAAAUAGAUUGCAUGAGAAGGUGUUAUAACAACUUUAACAUUUAUUGUACUUUAAUGCUUCAUGGAUAGAAAUGAAUAAAUAAAAAUAUUGUUAUGAUUAAUAACUUUUUCUAAUGAGGUUUCAACACAUGUCUCCAUGCACGGCUAGAGGUCAACCAAUCAAUUGAGGUAUUUCCAUUAAAAAAAAUGUAUGCUUUGAAUGAUUUUACUAAUCCGUAAACAUAUCAAGAAAUCGAAAGGAAAACAAAUUUGGGUGUGAAACUUGUAUAAAAAAUGCAAUAGAUAUGUAUAAAAUGAUAUUACCUCUUACCGUCAUUGAAUUUCUAGCUAAUUUACAUACACGACGUUGAAAUGGAAUUCAAACUUUUCUUUUAGCCAAGCAAAAUAAGCAAAUUAUAGUAUGGAAAUAUAACUUAU
rnacentral:lncRNA from 1 species